CACAGAGCAACUAGGGAAAUCUAACCUAAC
rnacentral:piRNA from 1 species